rnacentral:rRNA from 1 species
UAGGGAAUCUUCGGCAAUGGACGGAAGUCUGACCGAGCAACGCCGCGUGAGUGAAGAAGGUUUUCGGAUCGUAAAGCUCUGUUGUAAGAGAAGAACGAGUGUGAGAGUGGAAAGUUCACACUGUGACGGUAACUUACCAGAAAGGGACGGCUAACUACGUGCCAGCAGCCGCGGUAAUACGUAGGUCCCGAGCGUUAUCCGGAUUUAUUGGGCGUAAAGCGAGCGCAGGCGGUUAGAUAAGUCUGAAGUUAAAGGCUGUGGCUUAACCAUAGUACGCUUUGGAAACUGUUUAACUUGAGUGCAGAAGGGGAGAGUGGAAUUCCAUGUGUAGCGGUGAAAUGCGUAGAUAUAUGGAGGAACACCGGUGGCGAAAGCGGCUCUCUGGUCUGUAACUGACGCUGAGGCUCGAAAGCGUGGGGAGCAAACAGGAUUAGAUACCCUGGUAGUCCACGCCGUAAACGAUGAGUGCUAGGUGUUGGGUCCUUUCCGGGACUCAGUGCCGCAGCUAACGCAUUAAGCACUCCGCCUGGGGAGUACGACCGCAAGGUUG